rnacentral:rRNA from 1 species
UACGGGGGGGCAAGCGUUGUUCGGAAUUACUGGGCGUAAAGGGUUCGUAGGCGGCCAACUAAGUCAUACGUGAAAUCCCUCGGCUUAACCGGGGAACUGCGUCUGAUACUGGAUGGCUUGAGUUCGGGAGAGGGAUGCGGAAUUCCAGGUGUAGCGGUGAAAUGCGUAGAUAUCGAGAGGAACACCUGCGGCGAAGGCGGGUUGCUGGGCUGACACUGACGCUGAAGCGCGAAAGCUAGGGGAGCGAACGGG